rnacentral:rRNA from 1 species
GAUGAACGCUGGCGGCGUGCUUAAUACAUGCAAGUCGAACGGAGGUAUGUAGCAAUACGUGCCUUAGUGGCGAACGGGUGAGUAACGCGUUGGGGACCUACCCCAGAGAGGGGGAUAACAGUUCGAAAGGACUGCUAAUACCCCAUGUCGUCAUGGAGCUUAGAAAUCCAUGACGAAAGGUGCAAACCGCUCUGGGAGGGGCCUGCGUCCCAUCAGCUAGUUGGUAGGGUAAUGGCCUACCAAGGCGACGACGGGUAGGGGACCUGAGAGGGUGACCCCCCACACUGGCACUGAAACACGGGCCAGACACCUACGGGUGGCAGCAGUAGGGAAUAUUGCACAAUGGGCGAAAGCCUGAUGCAGCAACGCCGCGUGCGCGAUGAAGGCCUUCGGGUCGUAAAGCGCUUUUCGAGGAGAUGAGGAAGGACAGUAUCCUCGGAAUAAGGAUCGGCUAACUACGUGCCAGCAGCCGCGGUAAAAC